UACGAAGGGGGCUAGCGUUGUUCGGAAUUACUGGGCGUAAAGCGCACGUAGGCGGAUAUUUAAGUCAGGGGUGAAAUCCCGCAGCUCAACUGCGGAACUGCCUUUGAUACUGGGUAUCUCGAGUAUGGAAGAGGUGAGUGGAAUUCCGAGUGGAGAGGUGACAUUCGUAGCUCUUCGGAGGAACACCAGUGGCGAAGGCGGCUCAAUGUUCCAUUACUGACUCUGAGGUGCGAAAUCGUGGGGAGCCAACAGGAUUAGAUACCCCGGUAGUCC
rnacentral:rRNA from 1 species